CCAGGAACCCCGAGUGCAGGGGGAGGUCUGAGAUCUCAUCUUCCUGUGGUGACCAGGAACCCCGAGUGCAGGGGGAGGUCUGAUGUGGUGACCAGGAACCCCGAGUGCAGGGGGAGGUCUGAUGUGGUGACCAGGAACCCCGAGUGCAGGGGGAGGUCUGAUGUGGUGACCAGGAACCCCGAGUGCAGGGGGAGGGAGGUCUGAGAUCUCAUCUUCCUGUGGUGACCAGGAACCCCGAGUGCAGGGGGAGGUCUGAUGUGGUGACCAGGAACCCCGAGUGCAGGGGGAG